CACUCUUCCUGGCGGCGGCGGCUGGGAGUAAAACGACGAGCGGGCAGCCGACGGCGCGGAACGGGAUGGCGGCGCGGAACGGCGGGCUCCUGGGCGACGGGGAACAGCGUGAUCGUCAUUGGCGGCGGGGAACGGGAUGCAGGUACUUUUUAUCGGAGAGCAGUGCGGCUGCGGCAACAAAGGGAGCUAUGAUGGCCUGGUUCCUGCUCAUUGUGGAUGGGACGGUGGCAGUGUUCAUUGUUGUUUCUCAGCGCUCCUCCGCGCCGGUGCGGGACCAAGUCAAUGUAUGCUUCAGAAGCAGAGGUGGGUGUCAAAUUGACUCGAUGAUUCAGAGGCAGAUGUGGAUGCCAAAAUGAACUACACUUCCUUCUUGAUGGUUCCUGAUGGCUGUGGCGGUUCUGGACUGACCAUGGAGAAAUCUCCUUCUGCAUUGAAAUGUAUCCUUUUUUUUCUUUUUAGAUUCAAGGAUGUGAUUAAAACCCGACACUUUCUACCAGUGUAGGAUAGUAUGAGACUAUCUAAUGCCUAUAACUAUAGUUUUUCUUGUAGAGUUGUUUUCUUAUACAGUUUUCUUUCUCUUUUGUUGGCAUGUUUAUAUUCUUGCUGUCGCUGAUCUUCAGUUACUGCAGGUGCAGCAAGGAGGAACAACCAGCAGAUUUAGCAUUUAUUUUGCCAAAACUGCAGGUUACUGUAAUUAAAAAUCAGUGUGCCUUUAAUCGGCAUCAACAAGCUAUCGCGGCGGUCUCGUUGAGUCAUUGUUGGACAUGGUACCAUAAUUUAGCAUUUAGUUAUUUGGUUUGAUGCACACAUUUGAAAAUCGACAUCCCAAAACCGGUUUCAGUAUUUGCAGUUUGCAGCUAGAUGAUGAAAUGUUUGAUCCUGCUGAUCAACACGGCAUUAUCUAGAUGUUGGCCUUCCACGGCAAGACCAUUUGUAUACUUUGAAAUGCUUGUUCAUGACAUGUUUUGGCACUGUUAGGUUCCUUCGUGUGAGAUUUUCAUGGAUGCAUGGGCUGAGUUGAGGUGGUUGGUCUUGUGAUAUGUUAGUUUGUUUUUUUCCUUUGCGUAUGAAACAGGUAUUUCUCGUAGAAAGAAACGGAAGGUUCUUGCAUUCUAUGUCAGUUAAACACCUUUGUUUCCCUCUCUGUUUGAGAUGAUUGGCUUGUUUCAUAGUCCUACUCUUGAGCACCGCCGAUGAUUAUAAGUGAUCCGUGAUCCAUACAUAUGGAAUAGUUUCAUAAUUAGGUAAAUAUGGUGCUACUGGUUAUAAUCAUAGGCAUAUGGUCCUACUCUAGCAAUCUAAAUUGGCAAUUCACGAACAGACUGUAUAAAGUAAAAUGUAGAUGUUACCCAAGUCAUGUUCCCCACAAUCAAAUCCUUAUUCAUGGAAUUCAUAUACCUUCACAUGUGAUCCUUAUUCAUGGAUCUCCCUCAUGCAUGCUCACAUAUGUAGUACUCCCUUUGUCCCAAAUUAAUUGAAACUAUCAAAUAUUUCGCAUGAGAAGGUAUAUGAAUCUUGGAUCAAACCCUUUCUGUGCACAAGACAAAAAAGUCAGGGGCCAUAUCCUUGGGCACCUCAUGAAACCAGGGUCAUUGUUAUGACACCGACGAAGAGGCCGCCGACGAAGCACAUACUGGGCGACAGCCGGAGCAGGGCCUCGAGGACCGGGAUGGUCGCCAUGGACGACGAUCAGUACAACACAUCCGCCAAGGCACAAGAGGUGGCAGUAGCAGCCAAGAAGGCUGAGCAGCUAUUUCUGAAGGUGAGCAUUGAUGUGGCGCUAUACCUCAGGAAGGUCGACCUCCGGAUGUACGAAGGGUACAGGUAGCUAGCUCAGAUAGGCACUGGAUGUGUUCUUUUUUGCCAAGUCCUUCCCGCCUUCAGGCGCGGGCAACCAGCUUUGACCGAGGUUAAUUUGCUCACAGCUUUUACUCUGUAGAUAUUACAGCGGGGGAAGGGUCGAACCAUGCAUUGGUCAAUUUCCCUAAUAUCAGUUCAGAUUGUAUGAUCAUGUGGACGACCAUUUCUGAUGUCAGGCCCACCCUCUGCAAAAAUUGAUGUAUAUGGCUGAUUUAUGAUGUGUUAUAACUUCUUUUAAGUAUGUGAGGUGCAUGUACCAUACUCCAAUAUAAUCCUGAAUUCCAUA